rnacentral:rRNA from 1 species
GACGAACGCUGGCGGCGUGCUUAACACAUGCAAGUCGAACGGGAUGAUCUUAAAGCUUGCUUUUAGAGAAUCUAGUGGCAAACGGGUGAGUAACACGUAGACAACCUGCCGACAGGAUGGGGACAACAUUCCGAAAGGAAUGCUAAUACCGAAUGAAGUCAGAGAAGGGCAUCCUUUUCUGAUGAAAGAUGGCCUCUUUUUAUGCUAUCACCUGUUGAUGGGUCUGCGUCUGAUUAGCUAGUUGGUGAGGUAACGGCUCACCAAGGCGACGAUCAGUAGCCGGUCUGAGAGGAUGAACGGCCACAUUGGGACUGAGACACGGCCCAGACUCCUACGGGAGGCAGCAGUGGGGAAUCUUCCGCAAUGGGCGCAAGCCUGACGGAGCAACGCCGCGUGAGUGAAGAAGGUCUUCGGAUCGUAAAGCUCUGUUGACGGGGACGAACGUGCGGAGUGCGAAUAGCG